UUUUCAACAACAACUAGGCAGAUCUUAUUCCUGCUCUCCAGAGAUAGGCUAAGCUUUACAGUUUUAGCUCCACUAUAACCACCACUUUAAGGCUCUAAGAAUAGAUAAUCAAGAUGCUGUUUGUUCUUAUUGUGGCUUUAAUGAAUGUUGCAGCCUCUACAGGACACUAGCAGCACUUCACAGUUGUAGUACUGUGUAACACACAAGUCACAGUCCAGCACAACAAACAAUCACUGUUAAACAUUCUUCUUCACGCAUUCGGAGUUGUAUCACAGCGGCAUCUGGUGGACAUUAGAGGAACACUCUCUGCCUGCACCACUCAGCCGCAGAUUGGUUGAUCAACUCAAAAACGAAACAGGAAGCAGGAGGGUUGUCAGCAUGUUUUAAUCAGAUUAAUGCGGAUCAGGCAGAUUUUUUUUUACAAAAUAAAAUCCCAUAAUUCAACAGGAA